rnacentral:rRNA from 1 species
UACGGAGGGUGCAAGCGUUGUCCGGAUUUAUUGGGUUUAAAGGGUGCGUAGGUGGCUAUUUAAGUCAGUGGUGAAAGCCUGCAGCUUAACUGUAGGACUGCCAUUGAUACUGAAUAGCUUGAGUACUGAUGAGGUAGGCGGAAUUGAUAGUGUAGCGGUGAAAUGCAUAGAUAUUAUCAAGAACACCAAUUGCGAAGGCAGCUUACUAAGGAGUUACUGACACUGAGGCACGAAAGCGUGGGGAUCAAACAGG